rnacentral:rRNA from 1 species
UGGCUCAGGAUGAACGCUGCGGCAUGCCUAACACAUGCAAGUCGAACGGAGUUACUUUGACAGAACCCUUCGGGGGGACGUUGAUUUAACUUAGUGGCGGACGGGUGAGUAACGCGUGAGCAACCUGCCUCAGAGAGGGGGACAACAGCUGGAAACGGCUGCUAAUACCGCAUAACGUAUCAUUAUCGCAUGAUUAUGAUACCAAAGGAGCAAUCCGCUCUGAGAUGGGCUCGCGUCUGAUUAGCUAGUUGGUGGGGUAACGGGCCUACCAAGGCGACGAUCAGUAGCCGGACUGAGAGGUUGAACGGCCACAUUGGGACUGAGAUACGGCCCAGACUCCUACGGGAGGCAGCAGUGGGGGAGUAUUGCACAAUGGGGGAAACCCUGAUGCAGCAAUGCCGCGUGAAGGAUGACGGUCUUCGGAUUGUAAACUUCUUUUCUUAAGGACGAUAGUGACGGUACUUAAGGAAUAAGCCACGGCUAACUACGUG